GAGUUUGAUCUUGGCUCAGAGCGAACGUUAGCGGCGGGCCUAACACAUGCAAGUCGAGCGAGAAAGUGGCUUCGGCCAUCAGUAAAGCGGCGGACGGGUGAGUAACACGUAGGUAAUCUUCCCUCGAGCGGGGGACAACGAGCCGAAAGGCUCGCUAAUACCGCAUACGUUCCCAGAGACUCCGGUCUUUGGGAGGAAAGCUAGCCAGGGUAGCAAUAUCUUGGCCGGCACUCGAGGAGGAGCCUGCGUCGCAUCAGCUAGUUGGUGGGGUAACGGCCUACCAAGGCGAAGACGCGUAGCUGGUCUGAGAGGAUGAUCAGCCACACUGAAACUGAGACACGGUUCAGACUCCUACGGGAGGCAGCAGUGGGGAAUAUUGGACAAUGGGCGCAAGCCUGAUCCAGCCACGCCGCGUGAGUGAUGAAGGCC
rnacentral:rRNA from 1 species